rnacentral:tRNA from 1 species
GCCCUCGUAGCUCAGGGGAUAGAGCGUCUGCCUCCGGAGCAGAAGGCCGCAGGUUCGAAUCCUGCCGAGGGCACAG